CUGUGCCUACGGGGCGCAGCAGCGAGGAAUAUUGGUCAAUGGGAGAGAUCCUGAACCAGCCACGCCGCGUGAGGGAAGACGGCCCUAUGGGUUGUAAACCUCUUUUGUCGGAGAACAAAACCCGGGACGUGUCCCGGACUGCGUGUAUCCGAAGAAAAAGCAUCGGCUAACUCCGUGCCAGCAGCCGCGGUAAUACGGAGGAUGCGAGCGUUAUCCGGAUUUAUUGGGUUUAAAGGGUGCGUAGGCGGUCCGUUAAGUCAGCGGUAACAUUGCGGGGCUCAACCC
rnacentral:rRNA from 1 species